rnacentral:rRNA from 1 species
AUUGAACGCUGGCGGCAGGCCUAACACAUGCAAGUCGAGCGAGCGGCGGACGGGUGAGUAAUGUAUGGGGACUGCCCGAUAGAGGGGGAUAACUACUGGAAACGGUGGCUAAUACCGCAUACUAUCGGAUAACCCAUAUGGGAUUAGCUAGUAGGUGGGGGAAAGGCUGACCUAGGCGACGAUCUCUAGCUGGUCUGAGAGGAUGAUCAGCCACAGUGGGACUGAGAAUCGGCCCAGACUCCUACGGAGGCAGCAGUGGAGAAUAUUGCACAAUGGGCGCAAGCCUGAUGCAGACAUGCCGCGUGGAUGAAGAAGGCCUUAGGUUUGUAAAGUUCUUUCAGCGGGCAGGCGUGACCCGCAGAAGAAGCACCGGCUAACUCCGUGCCAGCAGCCGCGGUAAUG